GGCGGGGCGGGGCCACAGCCGCUGAAGGGUGAUGGGGGGACAAUUUCUGAGGGGAGCAGAUGGCACCCGAGGACUCGACAGCGUCCGUCCCGCAAUUUCCCUCCCAAAAAAAAAGUAGCGCCGUUAUUACGUAACAGCGGCCGGCGGCACCCAGAGACCGCGGAGACGCGAAGGGGCUGCGCGCGGGAAGCGCCGCUCUCCUCCCGGACGAGACGUGGUCUUUCUUCUAAAGCGCUUGCUAUCGCGACAAGAAGCCGGGGCGGAUGCGGCGAACGGAGGCGCGUGCAACCGAGGAGGUCGCGAACAUCACGCGGUUGCUCCCAAACGUCUCGUAGGCAAUGAGGGCAAUAGACAUCGAGUGCAACACCCUGUUCAGAGCAGGACCAGCCCCAAUUACAUCAUCCCAAACAACGUGUCAGGGUGUUUUUAAACCUUCCUCAGAGGCAUCUCCAGUCCAACCCCUUGCUCAAGAGUAGGACCGCCGCUAAAUACAUCUUCCCAGCCAAGGCUUUGUCUACCCAGGUCUUAAAAACCUCGACGGAUGGAUAUCGACCCUGUUCCAGUACUUCACCACCCUCCUAUUGAGGAAGUUUAGAUAUGAAGAUAUUAGAAAAACUUCUUCAUAUCUAAGCGAAUCUUCCCUCGCUUAGGUAGCUUGGGAAAACAGUGCCAAGUGACUUGCUGGCACAUUUGACAAAUGCAGAGUCAGGGCUGAGGUGGAUGACGAAGGGGAGACAAGGAUCGGUGCCUCAAUAGCGCUGUUAGAUGGGAGGAUUAAGUCGGAGAUGGGUCGUGAAAGGCCUUAAAAUGGUGGACAAGCGGCUGGGACUGAUCUCGGGGAGAAAAGGGAGCUAGUGGUAGACACGGAAGGAGCAUGCUUUUUACAGCAGUGACUCUGUCGCCAUUUAAACCUCACAGCAAGCACGCUGUCUUUGGGGUGCAAAGUGCUAUAUACGUCAAAAUGCAUCCUUUCGGCCAUCAGAAAGAGCCUGGUGACCAAAAGCCCUUGGUGUGCCUUCAGGUUUGGCAAUCAGGAAGGACCGAUGUGGACGCAGCAAACUGCACGGUGGAAGCCAGCUUGGAAAUAACUGUGGGAACGUGCUUGCGCAGCCUGCCCUCCACCUCCGAGAUGCGAGGUAACGCUGCAGCUCUGCAGAGGAAGUUCUCGUCUUUGUUGCUUCGUUUCUUUCCAAAAUCAUCGAGGUCUUUUUGAUCUUGAUCGUUCUGUUCCGAGCAUGGUCGCACCUCAGGAGAGAGGCUGGGUUUCCUCUGCCACGGUUUAACCCGUAAGCUGUAAAAUAAAACAUCCUCAUGUGUUACUGUAAAGACCUUCAAAGAAGACCCAGUCAAACACAGUGCAAAGGAGCUGGAAGGGGAAGAUCUACGAACACAGUGUGGGCUUCAGCUGACUGAAUACUGUGUCCUUUCCUCCGCAAGCUUAGUGCUCACAGCAUUGCAACUAUCAGAGCCUGAAACCCAUUCUGGUUCCAAAAAAUCCCCAUGUCACAUCGUUAAUAUGAGUGUGCUGUGAGGCCUACAGUCUCACACCAGGCUUCCUGUUAGUUCUUGCACACUGAACAGGAGUGAGUUGGGGAUCUUCAAAGAUGCUUGUGGUGCUAGUGAGCCAGGGCUUGGCGGUUUUCAAUUGAAUCAGAAACCAACCAGCGCCCUAACCGGCUGCUAGGGGACAUGCUGCUGCUAGUACUUUUCCUUUCCGAAGAAGAUAGGAACAAAGGACCCAACCACUUGUGCAUGCUAAGCAGUGUACACCCCAGUAUCCCAGCCAAUGUAUGCCUAGAUCUACUGGAUCUAGUGUAGGGGCCUGGACUGGAUACUCUCUUGAGGACCUUUCUAGCUCUGCAUUUUUGUUGUCAUGUUCUGCCUCGUUGAUGUCCCUGUGUGCUUUAUGCUACCCUCCUCUGCUUCCUAUCUCAUCCUGUUGUAUAUACUGCUUUUCCUGAUCAGGCUGAGCUGCUUUGCAAAAAAGAAAUUCCAGAUUUCUUGGGCCAGAGAAAAGCAAGGUGGAGAUGACUUAAGCCCUAGGACAGGGGAGACCUGGGUUCCCAUGCAAACAGUCCUCGAAGGGGACUCGACCACAUAGCGAUCCCUGGUAACAUCCGUGACGGCCAAGAGCUCCUGAAUGGACGAAAACGCCAAAGCACACAAAGAUGAAGAUACGGACCCCAUUUUUGUCAUACAAAAGUUGAAGUCCUUGGAGCAGGGACUGUCCCAGGCCUUUCCCUCUCCCAUGUGAGGGAUGAAGAAUGGAAGUUAUAAGUAGCCAGCACUUUGUAAGAUCUGAGCAAGAAAGAAAUAGAGACGUAGGGUCCGGUAUUUUGCCACCUGGUUAUUGAGGCCUCGAUUCAAGGAAGCGUAGGUUCACCUCCCUCCCUGCUCAGCGCAGCGCUUCAGCAGCACAGCGGAUCUGUUCAGAAUGACCCGAUUCCACUGUGGAAAUCAGAGCACUUUAUCUCUGUGGAAAGUGCAUGUAAGGCAUUAUACUCGUCUUUGCAUCGCUUUGCCCAGGCAUAAAUGACUUCUCAAGGUGUGGGCUGGUACAGGACAAUCAGACCCAGACUACUUUUAGGGGUCAGAUCCUGCUUGCCUUGAUUUUGAUCUUGCCUCAGUCACUUCAGCAGACCCAUGAACCUCAGUGGCACCUACCAGGAUUUGGGCCUUGUGUGACUGCAGAAAUAUCACCGUGCGACAGAAGAUGCCAUAAAAUGGAAGUUACCACAGACAGUAAAGGGGAAGGUCUCUUUCUACUUCCUUUUUCUCCCACAGAACAGCAGGAGAGAGGAGAGGCUCUGCGUGGGUGUGAUCUGACCUAUUCUGCAGCGGCCUCUUUUCUUUUCCCAUCCGCCUCCUAUAUCAGAACAGCCCUGCCGCUACACAGCAAGUCCAGCGUAUGGAUUGCAGGCAGACUGGGGACUUGACCAAGGCAGCACAAGAAGUCUGUGGUGGAGAAGUGCCUGGUGGACCAUCCAUCCUUUUCCGUAGGAUUUGAACCUGCCCCCAGCUGCAAAGUGCAGUACUCAUCACUGCCCCAUCAAUGAGGGGAUGAAGCAGGAGAGAAGGAAGGGGCCAGUACGGGGUCAGAGACCCUCUAUGGGCUCUGAAUUUCUUCCCCAUGUUGAUCCUCUUUGCAACCCGCCAACUCAUGGGAUAUGAACGGAGGGUAAUUAACACCCUGAGAGCAUCCUGCACUUGCCAAACUGUGGAAAUACUCAUCAAUUAAUGAAUCCCACAGCUAAUUAACCAGCUGGGCUCCUAGCACCUGCUGGAGAUUGGAGCUCUUGACAGAUCGGCAUGUUUCUCGGAGCAUGGACCCUGCCUGCAGCCCCCCAGCCUGUUUCAGGGGUUUGCAGAUGCGAACAACCAGGGUAACAGCCUGAAGCUGAAGCUCCCUCGCUGCUGCAUGCUCAGAAACGGUCAGUGUCUCCUUUACGCAUUGGAAGCUGUGCCAGGGUGGAUUGCAAGCGAGUCCCAGGUGACCAGCUGGGCUGGAUCGGGGCCUCACCUGGCGUCCAGCCUCCAGCACUGCAGGUGCAAGGUGACCUCGGAGAACCCUCCGCGCUGGUGAAAGACUGAAAGGGAGCACUUCGCGGCCGGCAAUCACACAGGCUCGUUGGGGACCUGCAGGUGCACGUUGGCAGCAAAAGGAGGCAUCCUUCGUGCGGAAAGAGCUGCAAACCAACUCUCCCGAUCUCGUGACGGGAUCAAGGAAUUGGCUGUUCUCUAACCCGAUACCGCAGGUGAAAGCGUUUCACUUUCCGUGGUCCACAAUGGGUCUUUAUCCACCUGCCUUCGUGGGGCCCAGCAAGGACGAGGAAUACAAACCGUUCCUUUUAGUCUGGGAAGGCACAAGUUUGAUCCACCCCAGCUGGAAGACAGCAUCGCUUCCUUCUCACGUAAGCUGCUGCGAGGUGGGGGGCGGCUCUGCAGGGAGGAUGGGUCGCAGAACUGGAUUGCGAAGCCUGGUGAAAUCGGGGCAUCUCUGUCCCUCAUCCUGUUUUCGAUGAAGCUAUGAACUGGCAGGCGCUCUCGAUACGGAGUAGAGGGAUAGGGAGGGUGGGCGGAUAUAGCAAUAAAUGAUGAACUGACCUUAAAGGUCCUGUCAAAGCGUGUGCUUAGCUGAUGCUGGAGGCACCACGGAGCAGGCCCUUCCCACCUGUCGACAUUUUUGUGGUUAUUCACCAAAAGAUUAGUGCCAAAAUCACCGGGGAGUAUAUCUGCAUUUAGGGUAAGUUCGUAGUGGGCUGGCUUUGGUUAUAGAUGCACAUUCCCCAGGGAUAAAGUGUGGUGUGCACCUUUUAACGUAUGGGGAGAUUCCUUUGCCUUCUUGCUAGAUAACGUGUUGCCAUAAAAUGGAAGGUCUUCCACCAUCA